GAACAUCAGCUCCAGCAUCAGCAAGAGCACGUGCCCGCCAAAUGGCUUCUUCAAAGGAGACUGCUUGACGUGCAUCAGUACGUGCCACAAUCACGAUGUCAGAUCCACUUUCUUUUCGAGCAUCAACAGCCGCUUUUAUUCUCAUGAUUGCUUCCUCCCGAGAAACAACUUUCCUGCCACGUGUGUGACCACAUGCUUUGGGAGAAACCUGAUCUUCAAGGAUUAUUCCCCCGAAACCUGCUCUAAUAUAUCCUUUCACAGUUCUCUUGACAUUCAUGGCGUUGCCAUAUCCAUUAUCUCCAUCCCCAAUUACUGGUAUGGACACUGCUUGUGUGAUCUCUAGACCUUGAGCCACCAUCUCUCCGUAAGAAAUUAGUCCUGCAUCUGGCAGUCCUAACCGUGCAGCAGAUAUUCCAAAACCAGUUGUAAAGCAGAAAUCGAACCCAGCUCGUUCAACAAGCUUAGCACUGAGAGCAUCGAAACAAGCUGGUCCUUGAUGAACUCCCGGCGAUUCUAAUAGUUUCCGGAGUGCCUUCGCUGGAGAAGUAAACUCAUUAGAGUUAACUGAACCCGAUUCCUUAUCACCAUAGCUAGCAGAGACAGUGUAGCGAAUAAAUGAUUUCCUUCCAGCUUUGCUACUGCUGCUACCUACUCUUUCCGGCAAUGAAGAAGCACUUUGAUGGAGCGUCUCGGCUACGCGCCGGUGAGUUAAGUAUGCAGUUCGGCGUGACGGAAGAUUCGAGAAAGUUCUGAACUCUAUGCUGGAAAUUGAUGCGGAA
rnacentral:misc_RNA from 1 species